GACGAACGCUGGCGGCGUGCCUAAUACAUGCAAGUAGAACGCUGAAGAGAGGAGCUUGCUCUUCUUGGAUGAGUUGCGAACGGGUGAGUAACGCGUAGGUAACCUGCCUUGUAGCGGGGGAUAACUAUUGGAAACGAUAGCUAAUACCGCAUAACAAUGGAUGACACAUGUCCUUUAUUUGAAAGGGGCAAUUGCUCCACUACAAGAUGGACCUGCGUUGUAUUAGCUAGUAGGUGAGGUAAUGGCUCACCUAGGCGACGAUACAUAGCCGACCUGAGAGGGUGAUCGGCCACACUGGGACUGAGACACGGCCCAGACUCCUACGGGAGGCAGCAGUAGGGAAUCUUCGGCAAUGGGGGCAACCCUGACCGAGCAACGCCGCGUGAGGGAAGAAGGUUGUCGGAUCGUAAAGCUCUGUUGUAAGUCAAGAACGGGUGUGAGAGUGGAAAGUUCACACUGUGACGGUAGCUUACCAGAAAGGGACGGCUAACUACGUG
rnacentral:rRNA from 1 species